UACGUAGGGGGCAAGCGUUGUCCGGAUUUAUUGGGCGUAAAGAGCGUGUAGGCGGUUAGGUAGGUCCGUUGUGAAAACUCGAGGCUCAACCUCGAGACGCCGAUGGAAACCAUAUGGCUAGAGUCCGGAAGAGGAGAGUGGAAUUCCUGGUGUAGCGGGUGAAAUGCGCAGAUAUCAGGAAGAACACCCGUGGCGAAGGCGGCUCUCUGGGACGGUACUGACGCUGAGACGCGAAAGCGUGGGGAGCGAACAGG
rnacentral:rRNA from 1 species